rnacentral:rRNA from 1 species
GGGUCUUCAUGGCCCGACCUCCAACCCUCUGUUGUUAAACUACCUUGUUGCUUUGGCGGGACCGUCUCGGUCUCCGAGCGCACUAACCCUCGGGUUGGUGAGCGCCCGCCAGAGUCCAACCAAACUCUUGUAUUAAACCAGUCGUCUGAGUAUAAAAUUUUAAUUAAAUUAAAACUUUCAACAACGGAUCUCUUGGUUCUCGCAUCGAUGAAGAACGCAGCGAAAUGCGAUAAGUAAUGUGAAUUGCAGAAUUCAGUGAAUCAUCGAAUCUUUGAACGCACAUUGCGCCCCUUGGUAUUCCGAGGGGCAUGCCUGUUCGAGCGUCAUUACACCACUCAAGCAUCGCUUGGUAUUGGGAACGGUCCGUCGAAAGGCGGGCCUUCCUCGAAGACCUCGGCGGGGUUCAACCAACUUCGGGCGUAGUAGAGUUAAAUCGAACGUCUUAUAAGCUUGGUCGGAUCUCAUUGCCGUUAAACCUUUAAAUUUUCUAGGUUGACCUCGGAUCAGGUAGGGAUACCCGCUGAACUUAAGCAUAUCAAUA